rnacentral:rRNA from 1 species
CAUGCAAGUCGAGCGGACAGAUGGGAGCUUGCUCCCUGAUGUUAGCGGCGGACGGGUGAGUAACACGUGGGUAACCUGCCUGUAAGACUGGGAUAACUCCGGGAAACCGGGGCUAAUACCGGAUGGUUGUUUGAACCGCAUGGUUCAGACAUAAAAGGUGGCUUCGGCUACCACUUACAGAUGGACCCGCGGCGCAUUAGCUAGUUGGUGAGGUAACGGCUCACCAAGGCAACGAUGCGUAGCCGACCUGAGAGGGUGAUCGGCCACACUGGGACUGAGACACGGCCCAGACUCCUACGGGAGGCAGCAGUAGGGAAUCUUCCGCAAUGGACGAAAGUCUGACGGAGCAACGCCGCGUGAGUGAUGAAGGUUUUCGGAUCGUAAAGCUCUGUUGUUAGGGAAGAACAAGUGCCGUUCAAAUAGGGCGGCACCUUGACGGUACCUAACCAGAAAGCCACGGCUAACUACGUGCCAGCAGCCGCGGUAAUGCA